ensembl:antisense Gm27197 predicted gene 27197
UGCGGAGAUGCCGCGCGCAAACUUCCCGGGGCUCCCCGGGCAGGCGGCGCCACCCGGCCGGGGCCGCGGAGGGAGGAAGCGCCCAGCCCAGGGAGAAAGCAGGGAUGUUACUCUUGGAGUAUGUGAAGACAGUUUGCUUUUUGACAAGCGAGCAAGCGGGCGCCCAGAUUUCUACAGCCUUUGGAGUCUCCCCGGAGGGAAAGGCAGAUAGAACAAACCUCGGACUGGGGAGCCAUCCUGGAAGGGCUCUGCGCAGAGGAACCGCCCCACCCUUUGGCCCCAGACUCUCCUGCCUGGGGCUCCGGUGGUACUACUAAAGGAUUGCCUCAAGCUCUGAGGAUGAAGCUGGGGUUUAGGGUUCCGGAAACCUCUCGAAUAACAACUGUGGGGGAGAAAGAGACUCUGCCAACAUUUCUUCCUGGCCUCACAACGGAAAGGACUGUUUUUUUAAAAGCUGUUGACUUCAGUCACAGAGCCAGU